rnacentral:misc_RNA from 1 species
GAUGAAGAACGUAGUGAAAUGCGAUACGUAAUGUGAAUUGCAGAAUUCAGUGAAUCAUCGAGUCUUUGAACGCACAUUGCGCCCCCUGGUAUUCCGGGGGGCAUGCCUGUCCGAGCGUCAUUGCUGCCCUCAAGCACGGCUUGUGUGUUGAGCCUCCGUCCUCCUCCCGGGGGACGGGCCCGAAAGGCAGCGGCGGCACCGCGUCCGGUCCUCGAGCGUAUGGGGCUUCGUCACCCGCUCUUGUAGGCCCGGCCGGCGCUUGCCGACACAUCAAUCUUUUUUCCAGGUUGACCUCGGAUCAGGUAGGGAUACCCGCUGAACUUAAGCAUAUCAAUAAGCGGAGGA